rnacentral:rRNA from 1 species
AUUGAACGCUGGCGGCAUGCUUCACACAUGCAAGUCGAACGGUAACGGGUUAAGCUGACGAGUGGCGAACGGGUGAGUAAUGCAUCGGAACGUGCCCGGUCGUGGGGGAUAACGCAGCGAAAGCUGCGCUAAUACCGCAUACGAUCUGAGGAUGAAAGUGGGGGACCGUAAGGCCUCGCGCGAUCGGAGCGGCCGAUGUCAGAUUAGGUAGUUGGUGGGGUAAAGGCUCACCAAGCCAACGAUCUGUAGCUGGUCUGAGAGGACGACCAGCCACACUGGGACUGAGACACGGCCCAGACUCCUACGGGAGGCAGCAGUGGGGAAUUUUGGACAAUGGGCGAAAGCCUGAUCCAGCAAUGCCGCGUGCAGGAAGAAGGCCUUCGGGUUGUAAACUGCUUUUGUACGGAGCGAAAAGGUCUCCUCUAAUACAGGGGGCUCAUGACGGUACCGUAAGAAUAAGCACCGGCUAACUACGUGCCAGCAGCCGCAGUAA